UUCUAACCUAUUUCUAACCCUAGGAAAAAUAUGUUUUUGUUUUUGAAUGGUUUUUGUUAUGGUUUUUGUAUCAAAAGUAAAAUAAGAAAUAAAUCAGAUAUGUGAUAAAACAGCUGAGGAAAAGAAAGGAGAAUACAGUGCAAAAAAUGGAAGGAAAUGAUAUAUUCUUUUGGAAAGAUGUGUAUUUGCGUUGAAUUUCAUAAGAAACCCUCACCGAUUGCCCUCUGCUUUUCAAUGAAAGUGUGUGCCAAAAAAGGGUAAAGCUGGAGCAACAAGAUUGGAAUCCUUCAGAUGGUUUUUGUUUCCAAUUAUUGCCUUCAAAUCAUUCCUCCAAAUAGCUCUUCAGAAAAUUAUACUCAAACAUUCAAAUUUUAAAUACAUGGACUCUAUCAUAGAGAUAAAUGCUGUAACUCCUGAACCUGCAUUUUUCUUUGAUAUAAAAAUAAUUUAAAUCUUAAUGGGUGUUAUACACUAUAAGAAAUGUAUUAUUGUUAUGAAGAGAUGCAGUGUAUAAGGCAAAGGUAUAAGGUAACUUUUUUUCGCAUUGUUUCAGUCUGUCUUUUUAAUUUGUUACAAUUUUUUGUAAAGUAAAUAGUGAAAAGACAUAUAAAGACAUACAUUUUUAAAAGUAUUUUUCUCAUGAGAAUUAAAUAUGAAAUUUUUGGCCAACGAGGUUGAACAGUGUUAGACUCGUUUAGAAAAAUGUUAAUUACUUAAGAACUAAUUAACAUAUCAAAGUGCCUAUUGCAUCAAUCGAUAGGAAAUUCAACCCUCUAUCUUAUUCUAUAUAUAACACACAUUUUAAACCCCAUAGCUACUUUAUUUUUUGAAGCAAAAAUGAACACAGGGCAACAUUUGAAAAAUUUUAGCCCAAAAAAUAAAGUGUUCCCUAGGGGGUUGAAAUUUUGUGUACAGAUAGAGGGUUGAAUUCCCUAUCGAUUGAUACUAAGAGCAUUCCGACAUUUUUUUUAAUUAAGGAGUAAUUAGCUUUUUAAUUUGAAAAACGAGGUCAAAAUACUAGAAUCAACAUUUUUUCUGUAGUGCUAAAAAUUUGUUACAGAUGUUGAAAAAUUUUGCAUGGGACAACCAAAUCUUGUGCAUUUUUGUCAUCAAAAAUUUCAUUUUGAACAAAAAUGAUAUAUUUUGCAGAAUCGUAUUUCUUAACGUGUAGGUAUUUUACAUUGCUAUUAUAUUUUUGGUUUGUCAUUAUACAUAUAUUUUAGGGUACUAUUUAAUUUUCUCUUGUUAUAUUUAUAAGACCUCUAAGAGUUUCUAUUUUUCUUUUAAUUGUUAUAGUAUAGGAAUUCUGACAGGACAAUGUUUUCCUAUAUCAUUCCAAAUUUCUAUUACAAUAAACUACCAUUUUAGAUUUCAAGUUUGCACAAAAAUGGCCUGUGCGAAAUAAGUAACGUUUGUUGGGGCCUUAAAGAAAACUACAAGGUAAAAUCUAGAUUUGUCUUUUAUUUUUUCAGAAUCUCUUUUACUUAUCGUGUGCUACAACGGGGCGAUUUUUUACAAAAAAACAUACAACCGAAAUAACAAAAACAGAACUUGAUUAAGUGUUAAAAUCAGUCAGAUCUUUCGACCAUGUUUUUU
rnacentral:lncRNA from 1 species